UACGGAGGAUCCAAGCGUUAUCCGGAAUCACUGGGUUUAAAGGGUGCGUAGGCGGCUAAAUAAGUCAGAAGUGAAAGCCUGCGGCUUAACCGUAGAAUUGCUUUUGAUACUGUAUAGCUUGAAUUAGGUUGAGGUUGGCGGAAUGUGACAUGUAGCGGUGAAAUGCAUAGAUAUGUCAUAGAACACCAAUUGCGAAGGCAGCUGACUAGACCUUAAUUGACGCUGAGGCACGAAAGCGUGGGUAGCAAAC
rnacentral:rRNA from 1 species